GACGAACGCUGGCGGCGUGCUUAACACAUGCAAGUCGAACGAGGUCCAUCCGAUCUUCGGAUUGGUGAAGACCUAGUGGCGAACGGGUGCGUAACACGUGAGAAACCUGCCCCGGUCUCUGGGAUAACAGUUGGAAACGACUGCUAAUACCGGAUGCCGUCGGACCGUCGCAUGGCGGACCGACGAAAGGGUUACCGGAUCGGGAGGGUCUCGCGGCCUAUCAGCUUGUUGGUGAGGUAACGGCUCACCAAGGCAUCGACGGGUAGCUGGUCUGAGAGGAUGAUCAGCCACACUGGGACUGAGACACGGCCCAGACUCCUACGGGAGGCAGCAGUGGGGAAUAUUGCACAAUGGGCGAAAGCCUGAUGCAGCAACGCCGCGUGCGGGAUGAAGGCCCUAGGGUUGUAAACCGCUUUCAGCAGGGAAGAAAAUGACGGUGCCUGUAGAAGAAGGUGCGGCCAACUACGUGCCAGCAGCCGCGGUGACACGUAGGCACCAAGCGUUGUCCGGAUUUAUUGGGCGUAAAGAGCUCGUAGGCGGUUCAGUAAGUCGGGUGUGAAAACUCUGGGCUCAACCCAGAGACGCCACCCGAUACUGCUGUGACUAGAGUGCGGUAGGGGAGCGGGGAAUUCCUAGUGUAGCGGUGAAAUGCGCAGAUAUUAGGAGGAACACCAGUGGCGAAGGCGCCGCUCUGGGCCGUAACUGACGCUGAGGAGCGAAAGCGUGGGUAGCAAACAGGAUUAGAUACCCUGGUAGUCCACGCCGUAAACGUUGGGCACUAGGUGUGGGUCUCAACCAACGAGAUCCGCGCCCGUCGCUAACGCAUUAAGUGCCCCGCCUGGGGAGUACGGUCGCAAGGCUA
rnacentral:rRNA from 1 species